rnacentral:lncRNA from 1 species
CACACAGGCAGUCACACACUCACACAGACAAUCACACACAGGCAGUCACACACUCACACAGACAAUCACACACAGGCAGUCACACACUCACACAGACAGUCACACACACACUCACACAGACAAUCACACACAGGCAGUCACACACUCACACAGGCAGUCACACACUCACACAGACAAUCACACACAGGCAGUCACACACUCACACAGGCAGUCACACACAGGGCCGGACUGGGGAUACGAAGCAGCCCUGGAAAAAAAUCUAUGCCAGCCCCAUAAGUCAUUGUGCUAUGUAGGGUGUUUUAUAUAUAUAUAGGCAAUUGAAAUAGUUGGCUGCACUCUCGGAUUUCCUGAAAAUUUAACUUUUAUUGAAAUAUUUAAGAUCAAUGUUUCAGUCCCUCUUGUGGACUUUCGUCAUGAUCUUGAUGCAAGGGACUGAAACGUUGAAAUAUUAAAUAUUUCAAUAAAAGUAAAAUUUUAAGGAAAUCCGAGAGUGCAGCCAACUAUUUCAAUUGCCUAUAUAUAUUCUUCUUCUAAUUCAAAAUAUUAGUUCUUUUAGGGUAAUUAAAUUAUACAGUAAAGCAUUCUCACACACAGACAGACAAUCUUACUGAUGCACACAAAUAGGCUCAUUGACAGACAAUGACACACACAGACAAGGUUACUGGCGCACACACAAAUUUAAUACAGACAAACUCUGACACAAGCUUACUAUAGACAAGCUCACUGUCACACACACACGCUCACUACAGACAAGCUCACUGAUGCGCACACACUCUCCCUACAGACAAGCCCAUUGACACACACAUGCUCCCUACAGAAGAGCUUACUAACAGAUUCACUACAGACAAGCUCACUGACACACACAUGCUCACUACAGACAAACUCACUGUACACACAUGCUCACCACAGACAGGCUCCGACACACACAGACAUAUGAUCCCUACAGACAAGCUCACUGACACACAUACAAGCUCACUCACUAGCAGGCACACACACACACACACACAAACUCACUAGCAGGCACACACACACACACACACACACACAGAGGCUCCCUCACUAGCAGAUGCGUGCACACACACACAAAGGCAGACAGUCACUGACACCCAGACAGACAGCCACACACACAAACAGGCAGACAGUCACGCACACACAGGCAGACAGUCACACAACAGACAGUCACACAGUCUCACACACACACAGACAGUCACACACACACUCACAGACAGUCACACACUCACACAGGCAGUCACACACUCACACAGACAAUCACACACAGGCAGUCACACACUCACACAGACAGUCACACACAUACUCACACAGACAAUCACACACUCACACAGACAAUCACACACAGGCAGUCACACACUCACACAGACAGUCACACACUCACACAGACAAUCACACACAGGCAGUCACACACUCACACAGGCAGUCACACACUCACACAGACAGUGACACACACAGACAGUCACACACACACACACACAGACCAGUCACACACACUCACAGACAGUCACACACUCCACACGGGGCAGUCACACACUCACACAGACAAUCCCACACACGGGCAGUCCACACGCACUCCACACAGGCAGUCACACACUCACACAGACAGUCACACACACACUCACACAGACAAUCACACACAGGCAGUCACACACACAGACAAUCACACACAGGCAGUCACACACUCACACAGACAAUCACACACAGGCAGUCACACACUCACACAGGCAGUCACACACUCACACAGACAAUCACACACAGGCAGUCACACACUCACACAGACAAUCAUACACAGGCAGUCACACACUCACACAGACAAUCACACACAGGCAGUCACACACUCACACAGACAGUCACACACACACUCACACAGACAAUCACACACAGGCAGUCACACACUCACACAGGCAGUCACACACUCACACAGACAAUCACACACAGGCAGUCACACACCCACACAGGCAGUCACACACACACUCACACA